rnacentral:lncRNA from 1 species
UUCUCUCUAUAUAUAUUGCACCGACCACUCCAUUCUUCUCUCUCUACUCAGCUUUCAGACAGAUCACAUUCCUUCUUCCCUUUCCUCCCGAUUCUCUCUGUUCAUUGGAAACGUUUCGUUUCCUUCCGAUUUCUCUCAAAUUCAAUCGACUGCUUCGACUUUGCUUCUCCGCUCGCUUCUCUGGUAAGGAUCUCCACUGCCGCUUUCUUUUUUUUUUUUCCAUUAAAGAUUCAUAUUGCAAAUUUUCUUCUUUAAUUUUGUCAAACAACUCUUUAAUAUUUGUGGUUCUUUUAAUAUUUGUGAUUCUUUUACGAGAUAAAACAUAAAAUCAUGUACUCUGAGUCAGAUCUGGAAUCCACCGUAACACUCAUUUAGGGAAAAGUCACCAAAAUCUAAGAUCCGUGUAAUCCUUUUUCGGUAACAAACGACCAAUAAAAAAUAUUAAAAAAGAAACCCAGAAAAUCCUCUGUGAAAAUAAAAAAACGAAAAGAGAUCAAAACCCUAGAUCUUGAAAUAAGACUGAUUACUUCUCCCUGGUUUUUCUGUAAUUAGGUUGUGUGGAGUUUUGGAUUGGAGAAUCUUGAAAUGAAUCUGUAAAAUGCAAUCUUUGUAAUGUUAUUAAAGUUUGAGCUCACCAUUACAACGUAAUGGCCUCAAACCCCAUGGAGGAGUCCUAAUCAUAAUGUAUCUUUGUUUUUUAACUGGGUACAAAUUGCAAUGGUGGUGGUUCUGCUAUUUGGGGUUUGAGGACUAAUUAUAAUGUAUAUAAUUUUUAUUUAGUUUGAGGACAAACUACAAUUGUAUAAUGGAUUGUAUUAUUACAGGUUCUCUGCGUAUUAUUAUGUUUGUUAUUUCAAUUAUUCAGGAUUUAGAGUUAAAAUUCCAAUGUAUAUCAAUUUUUAUUGGAUGAGAAGCCUAUUAGGUUCUAUUAUUAUUAUUAUAUAUUUUUUCAAUUAGUUGUACUCAAAUUAUGGGUUUUGGAUCUUGUGGUUGUAUUCCAUAUUACAAUAUGUACGUAAUAUUUGUAGGCGUCAAGUCUGUUUAUUUAUCUUCUAAUAUUGUUAUUAAGUUUUGUUAUACUUUUUACAGGUUGUAUAUAAUAUUUAUAAGUUUUGAGCCUAUAGGAUUGUAUUUUUAUUAUUUUCGUCAUGAUAUUACCCACAUUAUUGUAUUUGAAUAAUGGAUUUCGGAUCAUUUGGUUGUAUUCCGUAUUACAAUAUAUAUGUAAUAUUCAUAGGUAUCAAGCCUAUUGAAUUGUUUUAAUAUUGUUAGGAAGUUUUGUUAUAUUUUUUACGGGUUGUAUGUAAUAGUUAUAAAGUUCGAGCCUAUUGCGUUGUAAUAUUAUUAUUAUCAUGAUGAUAUGACACACAAUAUUGAUUUUGAAUUAUGGGUUUCAAAUAUUUUAGUUUCAUUCAACAAUAUAAUGAAUGUAACGAAGCCCAUUGACUUGUAUUUUUUGUCUAUAUAAUUAAACUAUAUUCUUAUUAUUAUGAAG